UACAGAGGGUGCGAGCGUUGUCCGGAAUCACUGGGCGUAAAGCGCACGUAGGCGGAUCUUUAAGUCAGGGGUGAAAUCCCGAGGCUCAACCUCGGAACUGCCUUUGAUACUGGGGAUCUCGAGUCCGGGAGAAGUGAGUGGAACUGCGAGUGUAGAGGUGAAAUUCGUAGAUAUUCGCAAGAACACCAGUGGCGAAGGCGGCCUUCUGGACAGUGACUGACGCUGAGACGCGAAAGCGUGGGGAGCAAACAGG
rnacentral:rRNA from 1 species